rnacentral:rRNA from 1 species
AGAGUUUGAUCCUGGCUCAGGAUGAACGCUGGCGGCGUGCUUAACACAUGCAAGUCGAACGAACCUUCGGGUUAGUGGCGGACGGGUGAGUAACGCGUGAGAAUCUGCCCUCAGGAGGGGGAUAACGGUUGGAAACGGCCGCUAAUACCCCAUAUGCCGCGAGGUGAAACGAAUUUCGCCUGAGGAUGAGCUCGCGUCUGAUUAGCUAGUUGGUGGGGUAAUGGCCUACCAAGGCAUCGAUCAGUAGCUGGUCUGAGAGGAUGAUCAGCCACACUGGGACUGAGACACGGCCCAGACUCCUACGGGAGGCAGCAGUGGGGAAUUUUCCGCAAUGGGCGAAAGCCUGACGGAGCAACGCCGCGUGAGGGAUGAAGGCCUCUGGGCUGUAAACCUCUUUUAUCAAGGAAGAAGAUCUGACGGUACUUGAUGAAUAAGCCACGGCUAAUUCCGUGCCAGCAGCCGCGGUAAUACGGGAGUGGCAAGCGUUAUCCGGAAUUAUUGGGCGUAAAGCGUCCGCAGGCGGCCCUUCAAGUCUGCUGUUAAAAAGUGGAGCUUAACUCCAUCAUGGCAGUGGAAACUGUUGGGCUUGAGUGUGGUAGGGGCAGAGGGAAUUCCCGGUGUAGCGGUGAAAUGCGUAGAUAUCGGGAAGAACACCAGUGGCGAAGGCGCUCUGCUGGGCCAUCACUGACGCUCAUGGACGAAAGCCAGGGGAGCGAAAGGGAUUAGAUACCCCUGUAGUCCUGGCCGUAAACGAUGAACACUAGGUGUCGGGGGAAUCGACCCCCUCGGUGUCGUAGCCAACGCGUUAAGUGUUCCGCCUGGGGAGUACGCACGCAAGUGUGAAACUCAAAGGAAUUGACGGGGGCCCGCACAAGCGGUGGAGUAUGUGGUUUAAUUCGAUGCAACGCGAAGAACCUUACCAGGGUUUGACAUCCUGCGAAUCUCUUGGAAACGAGAGAGUGCCUUCGGGAACGCAGUGACAGGUGGUGCAUGGCUGUCGUCAGCUCGUGUCGUGAGAUGUUGGGUUAAGUCCCGCAACGAGCGCAACCCACGUCUUUAGUUGCCAGCAUUUAGUUGGGCACUCUAGAGAGACCGCCGGUGAUAAACCGGAGGAAGGUGUGGAUGACGUCAAGUCAUCAUGCCCCUUACAUCCUGGGCUACACACGUACUACAAUGCUACGGACAAAGGGCAGCAAGUUCGCGAGGACAAGCAAAUCCCAUAAACCGUGGCUCAGUUCAGAUCGUAGGCUGCAACUCGCCUACGUGAAGGAGGAAUCGCUAGUAAUCGCAGGUCAGCAUACUGCGGUGAAUACGUUCCCGGGCCUUGUACACACCGCCCGUCACACCAUGGAAGUUGGCCACGCCCGAAGCCGUUACUCCAACCCUUGUGGAGGAGGACGUCGAAGGUGGGGCUGAUGACUGGGGUGAAGUCGUAACAAGGUAUCCGUACCGGAAGGUGCGGAUG